rnacentral:misc_RNA from 1 species
GAUGAAGAACGUAGCGAAAUGCGAUAAGUAAUGUGAAUUGCAGAAUUCAGUGAAUCAUCGAAUCUUUGAACGCACAUUGCGCCCGCCAGUAUUCUGGCGGGCAUGCCUGUUCGAGCGUCAUUUCAACCAUCAAGCCCUGCUUGCGUUGGGGUCCUGCGGCUGCCCGCAGGCCCUGAAAACCAGUGGCGGGCUCGCUAGUCACACCGAGCGCAGUAAUACAUCUCGCUUUGGGCGUGCGGCGGGUUCUUGCCGUUAAACGCCCCCUUUUUACCAAGGUUGACCUCGGAUCAGGUAGGAAUACCCGCUGAACUUAAGCAUAUCAAUAAGCGGAGGA